UACGUAGGGUGCAAGCGUUAUCCGGAAUUAUUGGGCGUAAAGAGCUCGUAGGCGGUUUGUCGCGUCUGCUGUGAAAACUGGAGGCUCAACCUCCAGCCUGCAGUGGGUACGGGCAGACUAGAGUGCGGUAGGGGAGAUUGGAAUUCCUGGUGUAGCGGUGGAAUGCGCAGAUAUCAGGAGGAACACCGAUGGCGAAGGCAGGUCACUGGGCCACUACUGACGCUGAGGAGCGAAAGCAUGGGGAGCGAACAGG
rnacentral:rRNA from 1 species